CCUCCUCAGUACUACGGGGUGACUCCCUGGGAGUGUAUCCAGCCAAUCUGUUCCAGCAACAGGCUGCGGCCGCCAACAACUCAGCCAAUCAACAGGCUCAAGGACAGAACCAACAACAGGUGAUGCGUGGGGGUGGUAACCAGCGACCCCUGACCCCUAGCCAAGGUCAACAGGGUCAGCAGAACGACCAGCUGAUCGCCGCCGCAGCAGUCAACUCAGCUCUCGCCUUCGGACAGGGGCUGGCUGCCGGCGUGCCUGGCUAUCCCAUGCUGGCUCCAGCUGCUUACUAUGACCAGACGGGGGCGCUAGUGGUCAACACCGGAUCUAGGGGCGGACCCGUACGCCUCAUGACCCCCGCAGGCUCAGUUAUUAUCUCUCCCUCCGCUGCACAAGCAGUAUCUCUGUCACUCUGUCACCCUAAUACAGUAUCUCUGUCACUCUGUCACCCUAAUACAGUAUCUCUGUCACUCUGUCACCCUAAUACAGUAUCUCUGUCACUCUGUCACCCUAAUACAGUAUCUCUGUCACUCAGUCACCCUAAUACAGUAUCUCUGUCACUCAGUCACCCUAAUACGGUAUCUCUGUCACUCAG